GACGAACGCUGGCGGCGUGCCUAAUACAUGCAAGUCGAACGCUUCUUUCCUCCCGAGUGCUUGCACUCAAUUGGAAAGAGGAGUGGCGGACGGGUGAGUAACACGUGGGUAACCUACCCAUCAGAGGGGGAUAACACUUGGAAACAGGUGCUAAUACCGCAUAACAGUUUAUGCCGCAUGGCAUAAGAGUGAAAGGCGCUUUCGGGUGUCGCUGAUGGAUGGACCCGCGGUGCAUUAGCUAGUUGGUGAGGUAACGGCUCACCAAGGCCACGAUGCAUAGCCGACCUGAGAGGGGGAUCGGCCACACUGGGACUGAGACACGGCCCAGACUCCUACGGGAGGCAGCAGUAGGGAAUCUUCGGCAAUGGACGAAAGUCUGACCGAGCAACGCCGCGUGAGUGAAGAAGGUUUUCGGAUCGUAAAACUCUGUUGUUAGGGAAGAACAAAGACGUUAGUAACUGAACGUCCCCUGACGGUAUCUAACCAGAAAGCCACGGCUAACUACGUG
rnacentral:rRNA from 1 species